UACGGUGGGGGCAAGCGUUGUUCGGAAUUACUGGGCGUAAAGGGCUCGUAGGCGGCCAACUAAGUCCGACGUGAAAUCCCAAGGCUUAACCUUGGAACUGCGUCGGAUACUGGAUGGCUUGAAUUCGGGAGAGGGAUGCAGAAUUCCAGGUGUAGCGGUGAAAUGCGUAGAUAUCUGGAGGAAUACCGGUGGCGAAGGCGGCAUCCUGGACCGACAUUGACGCUGAUGAGCGAAAGCUAGGGGAGCAAACGGG
rnacentral:rRNA from 1 species